UAGCCCAGUGAUUAACAAAAGACGCGUUAUUACGAGGACUAAUACUGGAAACCCCUUUGCUCUUUUUCUCUUUUCUUUACCCCAUUUUUCCCCCUCUUACGCUUUCCCCAAUCAUUCCUUUUCUUUUCCUUGUGGUAACCAGUGUCCUUUGAGCAAGAUUAUGAGAUAUGAGGGCUU